GAUGAGGAAAGCAGCCCCAGACAUCAAACUCAAGCUGAUGCGAACAUAGGCGGCGCAUGAGCCCCGCGGAUUUAAACAGAGCAUAACGAGGAAGCUUGGUAAGCCAGCCACCUAACAUACGUGCGUUCUGAUGGCCAAGGAACGUGGGUGGGGAAACCCCUGAACAUCCUCUUCUCCGCUACUCGCCGCCUAGAUUGUCUCGCCGGCGCCGUCCUCCUUUAAGAACACGCAGGCCCAUGAAAUGUCGGCACGUAACGCUGGCACAGCAACUAACCUGAGGAAUUAGGGAGAAGGUGUUGGAGAUGCCGUCCAGGCAGCUGGUGUAUGGCAGCUUGGCCACGGAGUUGAGGGACGCCAGAGCGCCGUGCGAGUCGCGGCCGUGCAGGGGGUUGGCUCCCGGUGCGAAGGGCUCACCCUUCUUGCGGCCGUCGGGAGUGCUACCGGUCUUCUUGCCGUACACCACAUUGGAGGUGAUGGUCAAGACCGACAGCGUGGGAAUGGAGUUGCUGUGCGGGUAGGAAGGGGCCAGGGAUGAUUCGGGCGAAGGGCAGAAGGAUGAAGGUUUAUACCCAAAGUUGUAUGAUAUAAGUUGGAAAACGCGUCGGAAUGCCUCUGUAUAAAGAAAAAAAAAAGCCCCCUCCCGAGACACUAAUGGCCACGUUGUGUUGGUCGUGAAAGUCGUCUUUCCUAGUUCUCCAACCACACACGCCCUCUCUUGGAGGAGAUCCUGUGGAAAAAGAAGCGUACCUCGAACAAUUGGUGUGGUAACCAUCCGCGAGCUGCAAUCACCUGGGUAGGUAAGGAAAGCGGAGCCUGAUCGUUACUCACCGGUAUGUGUGCUGCUUAGAGAGCAUGUGGGAGAAGCGCUUCACCAGCCACUCGGCCAGAGAGUCCACUCGAUCAUCAUCAUUGCCGUACUUGGGGAAGUCGCCGUGGAUGGCAAAAUCCACCAUGAGACCCCGAUCGUCAUACACCGGGGUUACUUUGGCGUACUUGAUGGCGGAUAAGGAGUCGGCUACCACCGAAAGGCCAGCAAUACCGAAGGCCAGCAGGCGGCGUACGUAGGUAUCAUGCAGGGCCAUUUGCAGACGCUCGUAGUCGUACUUGUCAUGCAUGUCUGUGUGGGAACGGCAGCGAUGCAUGGCCGUUAACACACGCCGCACAGAAACGCAUCGCAAAAUUAAACGCAUCGCAUGCAGCAGCACUUCAAGCUACAACCACCAAAAGACGCCGUGCCUGCCCCACAACUCACAGUGGAUGACGUUCAUGGUGUUGGCGUACAGCGAGGCCAGCCACUCCAUGCCGUCCUCAAGUUUGGCACGGACCUCCUCGAAGUCCAGUGGGGCGUCCUUCACACGCACUGAGGCGAACUUGGGGCCAACCUGCGCACCAGUCACUUCGUCGCGGCCCUGCAACGGGAGAGGAGAACAGAGGCGCGCAGGGUUCAAAUGCUGGACGGAUGUAGGGUGUGGGUCGGGUCACAGGCAAAUAACACGGACACGCACAUCCUACCCUCGCACCUGGUUCAGGACGUAGAGCAUCAGCUUGGGAAGGUUGGCACGCGCACCAAAGUACUGCAUGUCCUUGCCCACCCUCAUGGCGGACACGCAGCAUGCGAUGGAGUAGUCGGAGCCGAACAGGCGGCUCAUCAGCCGGUCAGAUUCGUACUGGAUGGAGGACGUGUCCAGAGACACCUUGGAGCAGAAGUCCUUGAAGGGCUGCGGCAGGUUCUCGUUCCACAGCACCGUCAGAUUGGGCUCGGGCGCCGGGCCCAGGUUGUAGAGCGUGUUGAGCAUGCGGAAGCUGGUCUUCGUGACCAUGGGCUUGCCGGCUGCGUCCGUGCCGCCCAGCACGCAGGUCACCCAGGUGGGGUCGCCCGCGAACAGGGCGUUGUACUCGGGCGUGCGCAGCUGCCGCACAAUCCGCAACUUCAUGACGAAGUGGUCCACCAGCUCCUGAACCUCGGCCUCUGUGAUGGUGCCCGCGGCCAGGUCGCGCUCGAAGUAGGUGUCCAGGAAGGCGUCGAUGCGACCCAGACUCAUGGCAGCGCCAUCUGGGAAUACGGGUUGAGGGGAGAGCAAGGGGGAAGCGACUUGUCAGAAUCGCGAGGUUGUGGAUUCUGAAGAGACGUUAGUUGGUUCCGAGUCAACUGGCAGAAGAACAUGUAGGGUUUCCAAGGUAAAACCUGAUGCUAGGCCAGGUGAUGGAUGCAUUACAUUACAUCAGUGCAUUGCUUUCCGAAUCGUGGGAGGUGCGCCUAACCCACCGCCUCCGCGCACCUUGUUCCUUGACAGCCCCUAGGUAUGCGAAGUACAACCACUGUACGGCUUCCCUGGAGUUCUGGGCGGGCCUGAGGGGGCAGCAAGGGGGGAAAGACCGUGGCGGCGGCGGGGGUUAACACAGCACCCGCAGAAUACGUGGACGAGGAUGGCCGACUUGAAACGGAGCUUCGUGGCCAUGUGGGCCUACCAGCAAACGAACGGGCCGAUGCCGUACCUGCCGAUGUCAAAGCCGUACAACUGGGCCAUCUCCUUGAGCUCCAUCAGCGCGCGGAUCUGCUCGUUCACCUCCUCGCGGAGGCGGAUCUUCUCCUCAUCCAUCACGCCCAGCAGGUUGUGCUUCAGGUCCGUCUUCUUAGCGGCGAUAAGCGCAUCAACGCCGUACAACGCCACGCGCCUGUAGGCCGUACGUGACACAUUAAGCCAUGCCACGCCACGCGGCCAUAGAAAAGGGAAGGACAACAGUCAAAGGAUGACCCAAGUCCGGACCUAAACUCGAAUCCAGGCAAAACCCAAGCAACAUACAUUCACGUGCCUGUAAUCGCCGAUGAUGCGGCCACGGCCAUAGCCAUCUGGCAGGCCCGUCAGAAUGCCGCUCUUGCGCGCCGCUCGCAUCUCAUCCGUGUAGGCAUCGAACACCCCGGCGUUGUGCGUCUUGCGGACAGACGUGUAAACCUGUUCAACCUGUUUGUUUUGGAGCAAAGGAAAACGAGAAGCAAACGUAACCCUUCAUGCAGCAUGUGCAAAUGGGAAUUGUGCAUUUAAGUUACACUGUUUCCUGAACUAAACCUACAUAUAGACUUGCCGUACAAUCUCGUACCUCCGGAUCGGGCUUGAAGCCGUACGACUCCAACGCCGCCUUUACCACGUUUAUACCUCCCAGCGGCUUGAUCGCUCGCUUCAGGGGCUUGUCGGUUUGGAGGCCCACGACCUGCUCAAGGUCCUUGUCGAUGUAGCCGGGGGGAAAGCCAGCAAUGGUUGAGGGCUUGCUAGGAUCCACGUCCAGGACGCCCACUUUUAGCUGUGCACGGGAUCCGCAGAGAUGAGACGGGAGAGCGCGAGGCGUGGCUUCUCAUGUUGAUUGAUUGGUGAACUAAUAUUGUGGGUGACUGGUGGUUGGGUGAAAUCGUUAUGGCGAUUUUAGGCGUUGGCUGCGAUGAGGAGGGCCACCUAAGCAAGGCUUUCCCCACGCCGUUGGUCGGAACGACGAACCGGCGAUGCUCUCGCACAUGGUCUCACUCCUCUUCAACACACAAAACGCCAACCCAGGACCCACCCCAGCCCCACCCCACCUCCUCGCUGAGUAGCUUCUCUAAUUUGCCCCAUAGCGCCUUGGUGCGGGGAGUAGCAGGGGCCAGGAACUUUGCAUCGCCGUACGUAUACGGCUUGUAGUUAUCCUGAAACCAGCGGACAGCCCGUUUGGUCGUUAACGGUCCCAACCAGUCGAGCGCACCAUACACCGCAAAAUACAUCAAGACGCGUAGAUAUAUAACUCCUUAUGGAACGUCGUAUGUGCGUGGUACAAAUUCAACUUGGUCGUACCUGUACGUAGCGCCCGGCGUCAAUAUCGGUGUUCACUGCCGGUUUUGGCCGCGGAUCUGGCAGGCAAAACAGGGCGUCCGCCUGGCCGCUUGGCACUUGCAGCUGCUGCUGCUGCUGCGGCGGCGGCGGCCGCUGCUGCCCAAGCGGCGCGGCAUGGCUGGCAGCCGCAGUGGUGAAACAUCCGCUGUGUGGGUGAGGCGGAAGGCGGAGGGCAUAGGUAGGGACGCAGGGAAGUGCGCAUGGGACGUGGACAUCCUGGCAUCUCAUUUUUCUCUCACUACCUCUAUCUAUAUAUGUAUCUCUCACUUACACGCACACACACACACAUGUUCUCUCUCUCUCUCUCUCACUCGAGCCGCCUUUGCCGCCACGCCUCCCACCACCAGCACCACCCAUGCAUGGGUGGGCCCCGCGCAGACGGUGAGAACCAACACUAACACACAAUGAUCCCGAUCCAGAUGUUGAAGAUAGAAACCUCUCGUUUUGAUAUAACUCGAAACACACGUGCAUGUGCGUGUGUUGCAAACCCGGCUCCAUUCAAGUCCCGCUUCCAGCAGCCCUUCCGUGCCCCACUAACAACACAUAGGCAAUCCCUGCGCCGCUUCCAAACUCACCGAGGCCGUCGGAGGAGCGGCAGCCGAGCCAGGGCCGUCACAGCUAACUUCGGGCAGGCUGCUAGCGGACUGUCAGCUGCGUGCCUUGCCAUCCGCAUCCUGGAUAUCAGAAGAAGAAGAAGAGGCCAGAUUGUGCGAAAUGCGGGGUUUGGCAGAGGAUAAAUGUGAGUGGCUAGCUGCAGCGAUGUGCUCGGGAAGGAUCGUCCCUUGUGCAAUCGUACGGCGACGGAGGAUUUGAGGGGCGCCCUCACGUCAAGCUCCAUGCAUGUGCUGGGGAUGUACAGCAUACAUGACAAAUUCCCGCAGCCCGGUAUUGCGAAAUCAGUCGGGGGAUCCGGCGGGGUUCGCACCUUUCCGUGCUCAGCGCCUGUGUCGGCAUGCCGUCAAGAAGCAAGAAGCUAUUGUUAUUGCUGCCGCCCGCUGGGGAGGUGGCGAUGGGAAUCCGGGAGGACGCGGACGAUGGCGGCUGGCGGCCGGCAAGGGACGAUUGCUUCAGGAUCAGUUGUGAUGCUGUGAGCAGCAGUCGAGCUCCGUGGAGACUGAGCGGGCUCGGUCAGUCGAGUGUGCACACAAGUAAAAGCGAGCUUUCUAGUAGUUGGUCAGUUCUGUCAGUUGGCGUCUUCGUGACGAAACAUGGGCUGGCUUGAAAGAUGGGACGAUAGCUGAGGUUUGUAAGGGAAAAGCAAUAAAGCAGCGUAAAAUGGUUUGUACAAGACUUGGUAGUGAGGUGAACCGUGGGUCAGUCGUGUGAAAGGAGGCACGUCUUUUUGUUCGUUCAGUGAAUUAAUAUUUUUGGACACCUCUCUUGACUGAUAAUACCAGAGGAUAAUGCAGAGGAAUCAGGGCACGCGGGGAAUUUUAAGGUAGUCUCCGAUGCUGUACGCUGGUACCAUCGUACGCUUUUGUACCAAAGCUCUGUCCUGUCUAAAAUCCAUGACACAACGUAAGCAUCCUACGUAAAUCAGCAUCAUACAUAAUAAAAUGUUGAGGUCGAACUAACGUCACAAAACGAGCGGCGACGAACUGAACAUGAAAGCGAUAGGAGCCCGAGAGGGGACCAGAUGCUAAAAGCAUAAUAAGAUGUCCGGCUGAUUGCGGUAGUGCGUAGCUUCACCCAUGGAUGCGAAAUGAACAUCCGGCUGUAAGAGAAUUAAUUGAUGGGCCGAUGGUGCCGAUUGAUUAGCCGAUGGUGGAAUACGCAUCGAAGGCAUGCCGCGCGGCAUCCCGUUGCACUGUGAGGCUCGACCCUUGUUUUUGUGUUCCGCACAUAGCGCAGCUUUGUGCUGUUAUUUCGGUUCACGAUGAUAGUUAUGAAACCAGGAAAUUCCAGUACUGUUGCAACGUGCAAUUUUUUCGGGACUAGGACAAGGAGACAAGGACGUUGGAUGAUGCUGUUUCCCGAUUGCGUCUACAGACAAUCAUGUUCAUACUUCUAGCUCCGGACAAAUAUUGCCGGAAGGCCACUUAAAUAGCGUCCAAUGUCGUGCAUCAGCCAAAGGGGCCCUGCAGGGCUUUGGACCGGGUUCUGAAACCACAGCCUCAUACACGCAGGGGUCGCUUGACAGAUGACGAACAACAUUCCGCGUUUUUGAUUUGUUUAAUUCAUGAGUGAUACGCUUGCAGCAAUAGUCUCAUCGGGUGUAAUCCAGCGGCUCAGGGGUUAACAAGGAGGCAUUUUCGUGUCAUAAAUUCUUCCACCCAUAAUGCAUGUAUGAUUUGAAUUGUGGUGGACUAGAUUUAUAUCAGCCUGCUAUAAGUACACUAUGUGAGUUGCGCACAGUAAAAGGAGUCGGGAAAAUACACAACUCCACUAGACACGUUUCACGUUACAUAUAAAUCUGGGCGUUGGGCUCAAACGUUUCACAGUGCUUCAAUAUUCCCUUUACAUUUCUCCUUGCAGUAUCCAAAUGGGUUACAUGACGUGACAGACAUGAUCGCAAGCCGCACGAUCCCGUGUACAGAAAGUCAGCAAGUGUACGUUAUGUGUACACAAACCUACGCAACGUGCGGGGAUAACUCCCAACGAAGAAACACUUCUAGAACUAUCUACAGGAUAAUAAGCCACUCACCCGGCCGCAACCCCUCAAAACUCAGCAGGCUUAGCAGCGCAUUCAGAUAACAAAUGCAACUCACUCGUUGACUGGGGGUAGCCGACUUGAUUGAUACAUUUCCCGUGUCAUUGCUUCAAUAAGAGCAUAGCGCAAAGGCGCAUACGCUUAUUUCUGUAACAUAUACGCCGAGCACUAGCCAGGUAAGGGGAAAGCCCUCUCACCAUAUUUAUUGUCAGGUCGAAAGUCGGCAAACGCCCGGCAAAUAAUUGAGGAGGCUAGCCAAUGCAGGGCCAAACAUUUCCGCUCAAGGUUUCAUAUGAUAUCACAACCGCAUUUGGUGCAUACAUCUAUGCGCAACGUCUGCAAACAACUAACCAACGGGGCUCACCGCUUUAAGAACGCCAAGCCAUAAACAUCAGGAGCAUGCGACCUGAGAUGCUUUGCUGAUAGCGGAAAUAAUGAACGAAUCUCUUAUUCACGAUAUCCUCACGACUCUUCGGCAUGCCACAUGUACAAUAAUGAUUGAUGCCACUCGCUUUUGUUAAGCUCACACGGUAACACAAGGCAUUACCUCCCACGUUAAGCGACUAACACAUACAUGGGCCCCCCUCUGCAAUCCUUCAACGCCGCCGCUCAGCUCCUCCUCCGUGGUGGUGUCACAACUUAUUACAUGGUCUCGUGGAAGGUGCGGGCGAUGACCUCGAGCUGCUGCUCCCGGGUAAGUCGGGCAAAGUGCACCGCGUAGCCGGAGACGCGGAUGGUGAGGUUGGGGUACUUCUCGGGGUGCUGCAGAGAGAGAUGGGGAAGGAUUGUAGGCGAUGAGGAACGUGAGAGCUCGAAAUGCCAAAGAGGAAAGACGACACGGUCAGCUGGCAACUUAUCCCGCAUGGGGAACACCUUAACCUGGCUAAAGCAGGAAUGGGAUCGACGAACACAUCAAGCAUCCGAACCUCACCUCCACGGCGUCCAUAAGCAUUGCGCGGUUGAGCACAUUGACGUUGAUGUGGUGGCCACCAGUUACGAAGUAGCCGUCCAGGAUGGAGGACAGGUUAGCAGCGCGCUCAGGUUCACCGCCUUUGCCCAGAACCUACAAGAGCCACACGGGCGCAAAGGAGAGCAACCUAGUAAGGAUGAGGAGGAAGAGGUUAAUAAGGGUAUUAAGCUUCAGUCAUAGCAAUGCAAGGUCGUCGUAAAACUCUGCGAAGCGCGUCCAUCGGGCUGGUCAUCAUCUGCUUCUGGGAAUUUCCAACCUCCGCCCCUCCGCCGUGUUCUCCUCCCCACAGCAACUAACCUGAGGAAUUAGGGAGAAGGUGUUGGAGAUGCCGUCCAGGCAGCUGGUGUAUGGCAGCUUGGCCACGGAGUUGAGGGACGCCAGAGCGCCGUGCGAGUCGCGGCCGUGCAGGGGGUUGGCUCCCGGCGCGAAGGGCUCACCCUUCUUGCGGCCGUCAGGAGUGCUACCGGUCUUCUUGCCGUACACCACAUUGGAGGUGAUGGUCAAGACCGACAGCGUGGGGAUGGAGUUGCUGUGCGGGUAGGAAGGGGGCAGGGAUGAUUGGGGCGAAGGGCGGAAGGAGGAAGGUUUAUACCCUAAGUUGUAUGAGGGGUGACCGAGGCCGGCGUCAGCGCGAGCAUUGUGCAGCAUAUUGCAAAAUCAAGAACCCCUAUGCUGAAUCACCAACGAUUCUCAAGUGCACUUACCGGU
rnacentral:lncRNA from 1 species